rnacentral:misc_RNA from 1 species
GUUGACGAACAGUGUGGGGUCUGUGUUACAAUUUACUUUCAGAGUAUCGUCACUCUUGCAAUUUUUAUAUAUUAAAAGAUGAAAUUAGAUAAUCAUAUAGAGAGUAUAUAACAAGGAAAAAUUCAUAUGUGAUCACUUGGAGCAGUAUUACGCCAGGGACACGGGCUGCACGGUUGCACGCAGUGUGGUCUCUUACAUAAGUUAGAACAGAGGUUAGAAAGAGAAGCAUAGAGAAUACGUUCGACCGAUAUGAAUAGUUGACACGAUGUUUUCACUUGACAUCAGUUUUCAUCAGAAAAUGAAGCUCUGCCUGCGUCUUCGGAGGUACACUCACUACGAAUUCAACAUGAAGAAAUCAAGAACAAUGUUUUGUCAACGAUCACCAAUCCAAUUAAUAUGAAGAUUAACGCUGGUUCCCUUAAACACGUUGAAACGCGAAAACACGCGAUAAUAUUGAAGCGCGAGGAAAGUUAACAGGCUGAACCAUCUACGUCCGCAACGUAUACAUAUACUGACAGCUACGUAGACGAAACGAGUCUCAUAAAUGCACGAAAUCACGUCUACUCACACGCACUGUGAUACUCAGAUCGGAUAGUGUCUUCGUUGACAGAAGACGAGUCCAUAAACUCGCGUUUCACAAACGUACAGCGAGAUUCUGCGAGACGAAAUGAAACAACUAGCUGAACGAAAUGACAAAA